rnacentral:rRNA from 1 species
UACGGAGGGUGCAAGCGUUAAUCGGAAUUACUGGGCGUAAAGCGCACGCAGGUGGCUGAGUCAGUCGAUUGUGAAAGCCCGGGGCUCAACUCCGGAAUUGCCUUUAAGACUGCAUCGCUAGAAUUGUGGAGAGGUAAGUGGAAUUCCGAGUGUAGAGGUGAAAUUCGUAGAUAUUCGGAAGAACACCAGUGGCGAAGGCGACUUACUGGACACAUAUUGACGCUGAGGUGCGAAAGCGUGGGGAGCAAACAGG